CACGGAAUAGAUCGAAAGCCGGUUUGGGAGGAUGUAAAAGAAAUAAUUAUCAAGACUAUCAUAAGCGGAGAGGCUGACAUGCGCAAGGCAGCCAAGUCCUACCUAAAGAGCAGAUACAGCGUCCAUGAACUCUUUGGCUUCGACGUUCUUUUGGACGCUAACCUCAAACCGUGGGUGCUUGAGGUCAACGUGUCUCCUUUUAUGGACCGUAACUUCACCAAGGUACACGUACCGUUGUUAAAGGAUGUGCUGAACCUUGCUGG